CACACAUACACACACACACACGCACACACACACACACACACACACCUGAGCAUGAACUCAGUCUGUCCUCUGUCAUCACACCAGAUCUGUUUGCGCAAACCUUUUGGUCUGCAGCACAGGGGCAGAGGAGGCUUCAGUUCCACAUUUGUUUAUUUAUUUAUUUGCAACCUCUUGUUUACCAUUUGCUGUUUGUCUUUUCUUUCCUUGUUCUUCAUUUGUUCUUUCCUUGUUUCUUUGUUUGUUUGUUACUGGAACGGAAGUGCCCGGGGGCUGCAAACAUUGUUCUCAAUUGUGUGUGUGUGUGUGUGUGUGUGUGAGUGUGUGUCUGUUGUGAUAUUUUUUCAUCUGUUUUUCAUUAGCCUGCCAUUGUUUCCCAGCACACCACAAUGUUCUGAAGAUAGCCUAAAUAGAGUUGACUGAAGUCUAGUAGUUGUGUUCUAGCUGUACUGUGCUGUUAUAUUUUUGUAUGUAUGUGUAGGUGUAGAUAUUGACGAUGAAUGUGUCAAGACCAAUGACCAUAAAAGAAAAUGUAAAGCAUUAAAUUAAAAUGUGAAUUUACACAA